rnacentral:rRNA from 1 species
UGUAGUCAUAUGCUUGUCUCAAAGAUUAAGCCAUGCAUGUCCAAGUAUAAGCAAACACAAAGUGAAACUGCGAAUGGCUCAUUAUAUAAGUUAUCGUUUAUUUGAUAUUGCCUAUCCUACAUGGAUAACAGUGGUAAUUCUAGAGCUAAUACAUGCUGAAAAUCCCGACUUCGGAAGGGACGUAUUUAUUAGAAUCAGAACCAAUGCCCUUCGGGGUUCCUUGGUGAAUCAUGAUAACUCCACAGAUCGCAUGGCCUUGCGCCGGCGAUGGCUCAUUCAAAUUUCUUCCCUAUCAACUUUCGACGGUACGGUCUUGGCCUACCGUGGUUGCAACGGGUGACGGAGGGUUAGGGCUCGACCCCGGAGAAGGAGCCUGAGAAACGGCUACUACAUCCAAGGAAGGCAGCAGGCGCGCAAAUUAUCCAAUCCCGACUCGGGGAGAUAGUGACAAUAAAUACCGAUACAGGGCUCUUUUGGGCCCUGUAAUUGGAAUGAGUACAAUUCAAACCUCUUAACGAGGAACAAUUGGAGGGCAAGUCUGGUGCCAGCAGCCGCGGUAAUUCCAGCUCCAAUAGCGUAUAUUAAAGUUGUUGUGGUUAAAAAGCUCGUAGUCGAACCUCGAGCCUGGCCGGCCGGUCCGCCUCACCGCGUGCACUGGUCUGGCCGGGCUCUUCCCUCUGCGGAACCGCAUGCCCUUCGCUGGGCGUGUCGGGGAGGCAGGACUUUUACUUUSGAAAAAAUUAGAGUGCUCAAGGCAGGCCAAUGCUCGGAUACAUUAGCAUGGAAUAAUAGAAUAGGACGUUGGUUCUAUUUUGUUGGUUUCUAGGACCGCCGUAAUGAUCAAUAGGGACGGUCGGGGGCAUCAGUAUUCAGCCGUCAGAGGUGAAAUUCUUGGACCGGCUGAAGACUAACUACUGCGAAAGCAUUUGCCAAGGACGUUUUCGCUGAUCAGGAACGAAAGUUAGGGGAUCGAAGACGAUCAGAUACCGUCGUAGUCUUAACCAUAAACUAUGCCGACUAGGGAUCGGGCGGCGUUCUUUCUAGACCCGCUCGGCACCUUUCGAGAAAUCAAAG